UAAAAACUAAAAACUAAAAGCAAAACAUAGCUACUUAACUUGGGUUGCCUCCCAAGAAGCGCCUGAUUUAGUGUAUUGACAUGACCCAAAUACGAAUCUUUUUUCUUCCCUUUCCCAUACUUGGUCUCCAUCUUGUAAUUCUUUUCACCCCUCUUGGGUGUGUACUCUCAAGGGUAAAUGAUUUUUCAACUUUAGCCUUUUUAGACUCAUCCACUUUCAUCAUGUCAGGCUGUGGUGGUUAUUUCUUAGAGUGCCCAAUAAAGGUGUCCGAAG
rnacentral:lncRNA from 1 species